AAAGGUGUGCUAAUACCGCAUAAUCUCUCAGGAGAAAAGCAGGGGAUCGCAAGACCUUGCGCUUUAGGAGCGGCCGAUGCCUGAUUAGCUUGUUGGUAAGGUAAAAGCUUACCAAGGCUUCGAUCAGUAGCUGGUCUGAGGGGACGACCAGCCACACUGGGACUGAGACACGGCCCAGACUCCUACGGGAGGCAGCAGUGGGGAAUUUUGGACAAUGGGGGAAACCCUGUUCCAGCCAUGCCGCGUGAGUGAAGAAGGCCUUCGGGUUGUAAAGCUCUUUCAGCCGGAACGAAACGGUUACGAUUAAUACUCGUAAUUAAUGACGGUACCGGCAGAAGAAGCACCGGCUAACUACGUGCCAGCAGCCGCGGUAAUACGUAGGGUGCGAGCGUUAAUCGGAAUUACUGGGCGUAAAGGGUCCGCAGGUUGUUUUGUAAGUCAGAUGUGAAAGCCCCGGGCUUAACCUGGGAACUGCGUCUGAAACUACAAGGCUAGAGUAUGGCAGAGGGGGGUGGAAUUCCGCGUGUAGCAGUGAAAUGCGUAGAUAUGUGGAGGAACACCGAUGGCGAAGGCAGCCCCCUGGGUCAAUACUGACGCUGAGGGACGAAAGCAUGGGGAGCAAACAGGAUUAGAUACCCUGGUAGUCCAUGCCCUAAACGAUGUCAACUAGUUGUCGGGCCUUUACGGGCUUGGUAACGUAGCUAACGCGUGAAGUUGACCGCCUGGGGAGUACGAUCGCAAGAUUAAAACUCAAAUGAAUUGACGGGGACCCGCACAAGCGGUGGAUUAUGUGGAUUAAUUCGAUGCAACGCGAAAAACCUUACCUACCCUUGACAUGUAUCGAAGCCCGCAGAAAAGCGGAGGUGCCCGAAAGGGAACGAUAACACAGGUGCUGCAUGGCUGUCGUCAGCUCGUGUCGUGAGAUGUUGGGUUAAGUCCCGCAACGAGCGCAACCCUUGUCAUUAAUUGCCAUCAUUUAGUUGGGCACUUUAAUGAGACUGCCGGUGACAAACCGGAAGAAGGUGGGGAUGACGUCAAGUCCUCAUGGCCCUUA
rnacentral:rRNA from 1 species